rnacentral:rRNA from 1 species
AUUGAACGCUGGCGGCAUGCCUUACACAUGCAAGUCGAGCGGCAGCGCGGGGGCAACCCUGGCGGCGAGCGGCGAACGGGCGAGUAAUGCAUCGGAACGUGUCCUCUUGUGGGGGAUAACCAGUCGAAAGACUGGCUAAUACCGCAUGAGAUCGCAAGAUGAAAGCAGGGGACCCGCAAGGGCCUUGCGCGAGAGGAGCGGCCGAUGCCUGAUUAGCUAGUUGGUGGGGUAAAAGCCUACCAAGGCGACGAUCAGUAGCUGGUCUGAGAGGACUACCAGCCACACUGGGACUGAGACACGGCCCAGACUCCUACGGGAGGCAGCAGUGGGGAAUUUUGGACAAUGGGGGCAACCCUGAUCCAGCCAUGCCGCGUGUGCGAAGAAGGCCUUCGGGUUGUAAAGCACUUUCGGCCGGAACGAAAUCGUCACCGUUAAUAGCGGUGAUGGAUGACGGUACCGGAAGAAGAGGCACCGGCUAACUACGUGCCAGCCGCCGCGGUAA